rnacentral:rRNA from 1 species
UAAUACGAAGGUUGCAAGCGUUACUCGGAAUUACUAGGCGUAAAGGGCAGGUAGGUGGUUUGGUAAGUCUAUUGUGAAAGCUCCCGGCUUAACUGGGAGAGGCCAAUGGAUACUGCCAAGCUUGAGUAUAGGAGAGGUUACUGGAAUUCCCGGUGUAGCGGUGAAAUGCGCAGAUAUCGGGAGGAACACCAAUGGCGAAAGCAGGUAACUGGACUAUUACUGACACUCAACUGCGAAAGCUAGGGGAGCAAACAGGAUUAGAUACCCUGGUAGUCCUAGCCGUAAACGAUGCACAUUAGACGUGAGGGGUAUCGACCCCCUUCGUGUCGACGCUAACGCAUUAAAUGUGCCGCCUGGGGAGUACGGCCGCAAGGUUG